UAUGAGCAUGUCAAACACCAAAGAAUGGUUGAUAGACACAUUGCACGAUUUGUUUUAUGAAGGGCAAGAGGAAUGCCGAGAAGGUACAAUAUUAAGCAUUUACAGUACAAUACAAUUUAAUAGGUAUCUUACAUACAAAAGGGAUGGCAUUAAGACCUAAACAUUUUAGAAAAAGAUAUUAAACUAACUUGAUGGCACAAAAUGUACAAUGCAGCAACUUUUCUGCAUAGUUAACCCUCAACCAGUUGUGUUUGGGGGGGACAGAUGGAGAAAUUCUUCUUCUUUUUUUUUUGCUUAACAGCUCUCACUCAGUUUGAUAAAAGUAGCGUACUUAAAAAAAGUGUACUUUGAAAAAGAGAACCUUAGUGAAAAAGUGGUGUGUUGUGACAAUUCUGUACUUGUUUAGUUCUGAGGUAGCUAAGGGACGUGUAUGUGUGUGUGUAUGUGUGUGUGAGAAUGUCCUGUUUUUCUUGGUAGCAUCACCCCCCCCAGAUCUCUUCAGGUUUUUUUAGUAACCUUCAGCACCAUUUGCAAAGGGCAGCAAAACUGCAGGGAUAGCAUCUUGCAAAAUGCAAUGUGUGACUGCCAUCUUGUACAAUUUGACACUCCUGCCCCACCACAGUUCUGUAGUUUUGUCCUUAAAUUGUUGGAGAACCUCUCUUUACUCUGGUGAAAUACCUUCCUAUCCACAAAUUUGGUGGGGAAUUUCUAUUUGUGGCCAUUUGUUUAUUAAUCUUGCUGAUGAAAUAUGUAAAAAAAAAAAGCCCCCUGGUCAGUUCAAAAAUGGGCAAUUCUGCCCAGCUUGUUGGGACGCCACAUUUCCUUAAUGAAAUUCUUCACAAGGGGCACCAAAAUCGAAGGGAGUUUUUAGUCCUGUGCUAUUUCAUUUCAUGGGCCCCUGCCCCAUUUUGUUUUGUGUCUGUGUAU